GCGACAAAGAUAGAACGGCCCUCCGUGUC
rnacentral:sRNA from 1 species